GCCUGGAUAGCUCAGUUGGUGAGAGCGUGGUGCUGAUAACACCAGGGUUGCAGGUUUGAUCCAGGGGGUUGGAUG